AUGCACGCUGGCGGCGUGCCUAAUACAUGCAAGUCGAGCGAACAGACGAGGAGCUUGCUCCUCUGACGUUAGCGGCGGACGGGUGAGUAACACGUGGAUAACCUACCUAUAAGACUGGGAUAACUUCGGGAAACCGGAGCUAAUACCGGAUAAUAUAUUGAACCGCAUGGUUCAAUAGUGAAAGACGGUUUUGCUGUCACUUAUGGAUGGAUCCGCGCCGCAUUAGCUAGUUGGUAAGGUAACGGCUUACCAAGGCAACGAUGCGUAGCCGACCUGAGAGGGUGAUCGGCCACACUGGAAGUGAGACACGGUCCAGACUCCUACGGGAGGCAGCAGUAGGGAAUCUUCCGCAAUGGGCGAAAGCUUGACGGAGCAACGCCGCGUGAGUGAUGAAGGUCUUCGGAUCGUAAAACUCUGUUAUUAGGGAAGAACAAAUGUGUAAGUAACUAUGCACGUCUUGACGGUACCUAAUCAGAAAGCCACGGCUAACUACGUG
rnacentral:rRNA from 1 species